UACGGAGGGUGCGAGCGUUGUCCGGAAUCAUUGGGCGUAAAGGGCGCGUAGGUGGCCCGGUCAGUUCGUGGUGAAAGCGCGGGGCUCAACCCUGCGUCGGCCAUGAAUACUGCCGCGGCUGGAGCACUGUAGAGGCAGGCGGAAUUCCGGGUGAGCGGUGGAAUGCGUAGAGAUCCGGAAGAACACCGGUGGCGAAGGCGGCCGCUGGGCAGUGCUGCACUGAGGCGCGACAGCGUGGGGA
rnacentral:rRNA from 1 species